CUACGGGCUGCUCCAGUGAGGAAUAUUGCACAAUGGGGGGAACCCUGAUGCAGCAACGCCGCGUGGAGGAUGACGCAUUUCGGUGUGUAAACUCCUUUUAUAUGUCAAGAAAGUGACGGUAGCAUAUGAAUAAGCACCGGCUAACUCCGUGCCAGCAGCCGCGGUAAUACGGAGGGUGCAAGCGUUACUCGGAAUCACUGGGCGUAAAGGACGCGUAGGCGGGUUGGAAAGUCAGGUGUGAAAUCCUACAGCUUAACUGUAGAACUGCACUUGAAACUUCUAAUCUAGAGUAUGGGAGGGGGAGAUGGAAUUAGUGGUGUAGGGGUAAGAUCCGUAGAUAUCACUAGGAAUACCUAAAGCGAAGGCGAUCUCCUGGAACAUUACUGACGCUAAGGCGUGAAAGCGUGGGGAGCAAACAGGAUUAGAUACCCUCGUAGUC
rnacentral:rRNA from 1 species